rnacentral:rRNA from 1 species
GUGCUUGCACCUGAUGGCGAGUGGCGAACGGGUGAGUAAUACAUCGGAACGUACCAAGUAAUGGGGGAUAACUACUCGAAAGAGUGGCUAAUACCGCAUACGCCCUAAGGGGGAAAGCAGGGGAUCUUCGGACCUUGCGUUAUUUGAGCGGCCGAUGUCUGAUUAGCUAGUUGGUGGGGUAAGAGCCUACCAAGGCGACGAUCAGUAGCGGGUCUGAGAGGAUGAUCCGCCACACUGGGACUGAGACACGGCCCAGACUCCUACGGGAGGCAGCAGUGGGGAAUUUUGGACAAUGGGCGAAAGCCUGAUCCAGCCAUGCCGCGUGUAUGAAGAAGGCCUUCGGGUUGUAAAGUACUUUUGUUAGGGAAGAAAAGCUUAUUGCUAAUAUCAGUGAGCCAUGACGGUACCUAAAGAAUAAGCACCGGCUAACUACGUGCCAGCAGCCGCGGUAAUACGUAGGGUGCAAGCGUUAAUCGGAAUUACUGGGCGUAAAGCGAGCGCAGGCGGUUAUUUAAGUCAGGUGUGAAAGCCCCGAGCUCAACUUGGGACGUGCAUUUGAAACUGGAUAACUAGAGUGUGUCAGAGGGGGGUAGAAUUCCACGUGUAGCAGUGAAAUGCGUAGAGAUGUGGAGGAAUACCGAUGGCGAAGGCAGCCCCCUGGGAUAACACUGACGCUCAUGCUCGAAAGCGUGGGUAGCAAACAGGAUUAGAUACCCUGGUAGUCCACGCCCUAAACGAUGUCAAUUAGCUGUUGGGAGAUUAAAAGCUCUUGGUAGCGUAGC